rnacentral:rRNA from 1 species
UGUAUGUUGACGUAUUCUGAAGGAUACUUCUUCGGACAUAUACAAGGUGCUGCAUGGUUGUCGUCAGCUCGUGCCGUGAGGUGUCGGGUUAAGUCCCAUAACGAGCGCAACCCCUAUCAUUAGUUGCCAUCAGGUCAAGCUGGGGACUCUAAUGAAACUGCCUACGCAAGUAGUGAGGAAGGUGGGGAUGACGUCAAAUCAGCACGGCCCUUACGUCCAGGGCUACACACGUGCUACAAUGGCCGGUACAACGGGCAGCGAAGGAGCGAUCCGGAGCGAAUCCUAAAAAGCCGGUCCCAGUUCGGAUUGCAGGCUGAAACUCGCCUACAUGAAGUUGGAGUUGCUAGUAAUCGCGAAUCAGAAUGUCGCGGUGAAUGCGUUCCCGGGUCUU